rnacentral:rRNA from 1 species
UUACCGAGUUUUCAACUCCCUAACCCUUAUGUGAACCUACCUAUUGUUGCUUCGGCGGACUCGCCCCAGCCGGACGCGGACUGGACCAGCGGCCGCCGGGGACCCUCAAACUCUUGUAUUAUCAGCAUCUUCUGAAUACGCCGCAAGGCAAAACAAAUAAAUCAAAACUUUCAACAACGGAUCUCUUGGCUCUGGCAUCGAUGAAGAACGCAGCGAAAUGCGAUAAGUAAUGUGAAUUGCAGAAUCCAGUGAAUCAUCGAAUCUUUGAACGCACAUUGCGCCCGCCAGCAUUCUGGCGGGCAUGCCUGUUCGAGCGUCAUUUCAACCCUCGACCUCCCUUUGGGGAAGUCGGCGUUGGGGACCGGCAGCACACCGCCGGCCCUGAAAUAGAGUGGCGGCCCGUCCGCGGCGACCUCUGCGUAGUAAUCCAACUCGCACCGGAACCCCGACGCGGCCACGCCGUAAAACACCCAACUUCUGAACGUUGACCUCGAAUCAGGUAGGACUACCCGCUGAACUUAAGCAUAUCAA